ensembl:lncRNA
CUGCAUAGCUACACUGUUGCCACCUCCCUGGAGAGCAGGAGUGCUACGUGCUCUCCGGGACGUAGGGACACCUUGGCUGUGGUGUUGGGAUAUUCUCAGUCGUGCCAAGGGUGGGUUUGGCUAAUCAAGUCGCUACGUGCCUGUUGUCCAGUGUGUGAUAUUCCAGGGACUUUCCGACCCCAGCGGUGUCACCCACGUGUGUGGAACUGUUACUGACAGUUGCUGACUCAUGGGUACGGCACACCAACAGUCUCCAAAAUAUCUGGAAACCUCAUCCACUUUCAGAAGAUGAGAAAAAGAAGGAAACUAAGACUUAACUCCCAGUUGGCCUGUGACAUAAUGCACAGAGAUGCACACGAAGAAACCAUGUCUUCUGAAAUGCUCUACUGUGCCACAAAGGAGGAGCGGACGGUGUCCGUGCCAGGCAGGGAGCAUGUCCCCCAUGGGGGGGCAGCGUGCUCCCAGCAGCUGCUGUGCCUGCCACUGUGCCUUUCUCCCGGCUCCCACUGCCCGGAGCAGCAGGGUUCUGCUGCCAAGUGGGGCUGGGACCCUUGGGCCUCUGCCAGCAUGGACUAAGUCAUUGCUUCCCCUCCUCCCCUGUGUCACCAGGGUCUUGCUGUGACACACAGGGCUGGGUGGCCGGGCCCGGAUUUUGAGGUAGGUGGCUGGCCCAACAAGAUAUUGUACAAAACACAGUGGUGGCUGGUGAUGAGGAGCUCUGUGACAGAAACACGGUCAGAUGUAAGCCUAAAUGCUGGGUCUGUAUGUUGUCAACUCAAAUGAUGGAUGGAGGAUUAAAAGGGACACACCAGGACCCUUCUGCACAACAGUAGUGUGCACGGGGUGCUUAAAUUUGUGUUUGUUAGUGUCCCCUGUGAUAUCCAGGACAAUGUCCCUCUCCCCACUGUUCCUUUGAAUUCCUGACUCUUCUCCACCUUGCACCAAGUUCUUUUCCCCCAGCUCUUCCAGCCUGAGUUCUUUGCACUGAUAUCAGGGAAAUCUACCCCUGUAUUGUUAUGGCCUCAGAAAGGCAAAGGUACUAUGGCAGACUCUUGGCCAUAGUACUGUGCAAAGCCCUCUGACGCAUUUUUCUCUGUCUCUCCUUUGCAGGUGACCCAGGGCAGAAGGCAACCAAGUGGACUUUGACUCCAGGCUAGAGGGGGAUCAAUGAGUUUUGCUUUCACUAAUCUGUGAAUCUUGCUUACAGGGACUGUGGCUGCCAGGCAUCCCUGAACAGGUAAUAAUUAGCAUUGACUCCAUGAUUCACAGAAGGCUGAUCAAUCUCUAUAUUAUAUUAUGUUAUGUUAUGUUAUGUUAUGUUAUGUUAUGUUAUGUUAUGUUAUGUUAUGUUAUGUUAUGUUAUGUUAUAUUAUAUUAUAUUAUAUCAUUAUUAAGAAACCCAUUGCUUUUAUAGACAGUUACGAUACACCUGGACCUAACUGGUCCUUUAAUUAAAACACCAUUUCCAUUGGCUAAUUAAGAAAUCACCCUUUGGUAAACUAAUCUCCAUAACACAUUCCACAUGUUCACAAUGAGAGGUGCAGCAGGUUAAGAUAAGAAUUAUUUAUCAUUCUUU